rnacentral:sRNA from 2 species
CGGCUGGUUCUGGGGGAGUAGCCUCGGCGCGAUGUUCAGCGCCGGCAUGCGUCAACAGGCUUGGCCGUCACGGCCAUGGCGCAUGCGACGAUAACUUCCGUUUGGCAAGACCCAUGACAUGUCUGCGCAACGCGGGGCUGCGGCGCGGGCUUGUCAUGGCGUAUGCGCAGCCCCCGGAGUU